ACCGGCUGCUCGAGUGAUGGCCACUCNNNNNNGGGUUUAAAGCGUCCGUAGCUUGACUGUUAGGUCUCUUGGGAAAUCUUCACGCUCAACGUGAAGGCGUCUAAGAGAUACCGGCAGUCUUGGAACUGGGAGAGGUAAACCGUACUUCGGGGGUAGGAGUGAAAUCUUGUAAUCCUCGAGGGACGACCUAUGGCGAAGGCAGUUUACCAGAACAGCUUCGACAGUGAGGGACGAAAGCUGGGGGAGCAAACGGGAUUAGAUACCCCGGUAGUCCCAGCCGUAAACAAUGUGCGUUAGGUGUGUCGGUAACCACGUGUUACUGAUGCGCCGAAGAGAAAUCGUGAAACGCACCACCUGGGAAGUACGGUCGCAAGGCUGAAACUUAAAGGAAUUGGCGGGGGAGCACCACAACAGGUGGAGCCUGCGGUUUAAUUGGAUUCAACGCCGGACAUCUCACCGGAUAAGACAGCUGAAUGAUUGUCAAUCUGAAGGUUUUACAUGACUAGCUGAGAGGAGGUGCAUGGCCGUCGUCAGUUCGUACUGUGAAGCAUCCUGUUAAGUCAGGCAACGAGCGAGACCCACGCCGACAAUUGCCAGCAGCAUCUCCGGAUGGCUGGGGACAUUGUCGGGACCGCCUCUGCUAAAGAGGAGGAAGGAAUGGGCAACGGUAGGUCAGCAUGCCCCGAAUUAUCCGGGCUACACGCGGGCUACAAUGGACGGGACAAUGGGUAACAACACCGAAAAGGUGCAGUCAAUCUCCUAACCCCGUCCUUAGUUAGGAUUGCGGGUUGCAACUCACCCGCAUGAAUCUGGAAUCUGUAGUAAUCGCGUUUCACUAUAGCGCGGUGAAUACGUCCCUGCUCCUUGCACACACCGCCCGUCAAACCAUCCUAGUGGGGUUUGGAUGAGUCCCUGGUCU
rnacentral:rRNA from 1 species